rnacentral:rRNA from 1 species
CCUACGGGAGGCAGCAGUGGGGAAUAUUGGACAAUGGGGGGAACCCUGAUCCAGCCAUGCCGCGUGUGUGAAGAAGGCCCUCGGGUUGUAAAGCACUUUCAGUGAGGAAGAACGCCUGGUGGUUAAUACCCAUCAGGAAAGACAUCACUCACAGAAGAAGCACCGGCUAACUCCGUGCCAGCAGCCGCGGUAAUACGGAGGGUGCGAGCGUUAAUCGGAAUUACUGGGCGUAAAGCGCGCGUAGGUGGCUUGAUAAGCCGGUUGUGAAAGCCCCGGGCUCAACCUGGGAACGGCAUCCGGAACUGUCAAGCUAGAGUGCAGGAGAGGAAGGUAGAAUUCCCGGUGUAGCGGAGAAAUGCGUAGAGAUCGGGAGGAAUACCAGUGGCGAAGGCGGCCUUCUGGACUGACACUGACACUGAGGUGCGAAAGCGUGGGUAGCAAACAGGAUUAGAUACCCGAGUAGUC